rnacentral:rRNA from 1 species
CCUACGGGGGGCAGCAGUGGGGAAUAUUGCACAAUGGGGGAAACCCUGAUGCAGCGACGCCGCGUGAGUGAAGAAGUAUCUCGGUACGUAAAGCUCUAUCAGCAGGGAAGAUAAUGACGGUACCUGACCAAGAAGCCCCGGCUAACUACGUGCCAGCAGCCGCGGUAAUACGUAGGGGGCAAGCGUUAUCCGGAUUUACUGGGUGUAAAGGGAGCGUAGACGGCAGCACAAGUCUGGAGUGAAAUCCCGGGGCUUAACCCCGGAACUGCUUUGGAAACUGUGCGGCUGGAGUGAGCGAGAAGUAUGCGGAAUGCGUGGUGUAGCGGUGAAAUGCAUAGAUAUCACGCAGAACUCCGAUUGCGAAGGCAGCAUACCGGCGCUCAACUGACGCUGAGGCACGAAAGCGUGGGGAUCGAACAGGAUUAGAUACCCCUGUAGUC